rnacentral:tRNA from 1 species
AAAAAGAUAAGCUAAAUAAAGCUUUUAGGUUCAUACCCUAAACAUAGGAAUUAAUAUCCUUCUUUUUA